AUUUAAACUGAUGAAGCCCUUCUGAUUCCCUUUCUUCCUCCAAUAUCGACCUCAUCGCUCUCCCUCUCUCUCUCUCUCUCUCUCUGAAAGGCUUGAGUGUUUCUACUUCGGUGAACAGUUGGAAUCAAAAACCCUAGCCGGAGCCAUUUGUCGCCCGCACUAAAUGCCCGGAUACAAACUACUUGUUUAUGGGGGAUUACGUGGAUGGAGGGUAUUAUUCUGUUGAAACUGUCACACUAUUGGUGGCUGUGAAAGUACGAUAUCCUCAACGAAUUACUAUUUUAAGAGGGAAUCAUGAAAGCCGGCAGGUCGAGAAUUUAGCUGCACCAGUUGCAGAAUGGACAGUUGGCGGAACUCCAUUGACUUCAUUAAUGGACGUUGAGAGGAGACAUGUUUAAACAAAUCCCAUUCUGUUAGUGAAGGCGGCGGUAAUGACGGUCGUGGUGCUGAUUGUGGUGCUGGUUGGGACGUGGAGGUGGUGGCGAUAUAAUGGCCAUGGGUAACACUGUCCUUUUUGGUGCUACUGCUGGAGAAGGGCAAUCUGCAGCUACACUUAUCGAGGUCUUUUUUUAAUUCGUCUAAAACUUUAAGGUUGACUACACUAUUCGCAAGGUCGGCUCACAAGGAAAAAGGUAGUGGUGGUGGCUGUUGCGGUUGGAGUGGUGAGCGUUGCGGUUGGACUCCGCAUAUCGAUUUUCUACGGAACGCGGAUUAGUAGUGUUGUAUGUUGUCGUUUUAACUUUCUUCUUCAGUUUUCCCUAAUUGUGCCUGUAGGGUGAGAGUUUGAAAUAAUAGAAGCAUUCCAAGAAUACCAUACUUAUGCGACUCAAGCCAGACUCAAACAACUUUACAGAUCGAGAGUUGACGACGGAUCAAUCAUUUCAAGAAGAUAGGUUUGAUCAAGACUUCAAGAAAAUGCAUACAAAUCCCAUUAAGAACAGGCUAUCCAACUUUAAUCAGAGUAUAUAAAAGGGAGAAUUGGUGUAUAGGGAAGAGAUUGUACAAAUUUUAUAGAGACAAUGAGGUUCAAGAUGAAUUAAUACAGCAGCCUUUUCCGGCUUUGAAUUAGACUUCUGCGAGUUUCAUAUAUACAACUUAUAUAUGAUUUUUUAAUCGUUUUAAGGUUUGCAUUAUAUUUCUGCCUCA